AUGCAUCCGAUACAAUCGGAGAAGAUGCAUUCGAUGAGAAAAAGAUCACAUAUAAAAUGUGAUAGGAUGACAGUGUAACUAUCAAAUGUAUCAUGCUUGCCUCCAUGAACAAUGAGCUUUAGCAGCAGCAUGAAGGCAUGGAUGUUCCUUCCAUACUCCUUAAUUUAAAGGAGUUAUAUGGAGAACAAAAUUGAACCGCU
rnacentral:lncRNA from 1 species